rnacentral:lncRNA from 1 species
ACUCGGUGAGGCAAACCCUUACUGAAAAGCUUUCUCCUGCCAUGGACAUUCUAAGCAAAAUAGAAGGCUUACCAUGUUUCGUGUCCAUUCCGAAACAAGGGGGAGAAGAGAAGAAGACCGGAUCGAAACCACCUCUUUCCUCCAAAGCUACUCACACAACCGAACCAACUCCAACUGGUCAAGCUUCGGGUUCGGGUGUGAAGGACAAAGGGAAAAAUAUAGCUGAGGAAGAAGAUGAAGAUGAAGACGAUGAAACCAUUGCUGACAUGUUGAAACAAAAGAACAGUCGCAAUGUGGAUGAUGAUGUUAAUCNAAGCAAAAUAGAAGGCUUACCUAGUUUCGUGUCCAUUCCGAAACAAGGGGGAGAAGAGAAGAAGACCGGAUCGAAACCACCUCCUUCCUCCAAAGCUACUCACACAACCGAACCACCUCCGACUGGUCAAGCUUCGGGUUCGGGUGUGAAGGACAAAGGGAAAAAUAUAGCUGAGGAAGAAGAUGAAGAUGAAGACGAUGAAACCAUUGCUGACAUGUUGAAACGAAAGAACAGUCGCAAUGUGGAUGAUGAUGUUAAUCGUGUGGCGCGAGAGGCUGAAGAAGCCGAACGCAAGCAGAAGGAAGCCCACGAUCUCCUCGAGAGCAGGAAGACUCUCUUCCCUGCCUGGACUCGGGAGCGUUUGUUCAAAGAGGCCAUAGAUACUCCCAGCAUCUUAUGGCUCAAGCCGGUGAUUUCGUUCGACUGUGUUAAUUCUGUCGAUUCACAGUUCGACAUGCCGUUGACUCGAAAGGCAUUCAUCUUCCAUGCCUUCUCAAAUAUCUUUGAAGUCCCUCAUCCCAACGCUGAACUUGAUAGGGAGCUCAUCGAUUUCUAUCUGAAGGCUGCUCGUCCUCAGUACUUAACUUGGAGCGCCCAGAAGAUAGUGAACGUUCGGGUAUUGAAGCCUUACACCGAAGGAAGAUUCAUAAACGUUCGGUUCAAGGUGAUUCGAGGGUCUGCAAAAACUGAACACCUUAUAUCUCUGGCGGAUCUACCGAACUUAAAUCCUCAUGAUUGGAUUGUUCUGCACAACAUUCUCUUGACAAAUGAAGCUGAAUAUGGUCCGAUUAUAGACCAUAUCAAGAGGAUGAUUGUCUGUUAUAUCAUGGAGGUUGCCCUGAUGGAUCAGGAGGUCGCUACUGUCUUCAAGAAGAAACCGAAGAUAGCUCCUGUGGGAUCGGCCAGUGAUCUCAACCAAAUGAAGAUGGGCAAGAUCGACCCGAGACGCAACUCGGUUAUGUUCACUAGAGCCGAAGGACAAAAAUGUCUCUUCGCUUUAGCUGACAAACAUCUCUACACCACUGCUUGUCUAGAGCAUGUAUUAUCGAUCCUUCGAAGGUGUAAAGAGAAUGCAGCGGAUG